rnacentral:rRNA from 1 species
AGAACGGACGCUGGCGGCAUGCCUAACACAUGCAAGUCGAACGAGACCUUCGGGUCUAGUGGCGCACGGGUGCGUAACGCGUGGGAAUCUGCCCUUAGGUACGGAAUAACAGUGAGAAAUUACUGCUAAUACCGUAUGAUGUCUUCGGACCAAAGAUUUAUCGCCUAGGGAUGAGCCCGCGUUGGAUUAGCUAGUUGGUGGGGUAAAGGCCUACCAAGGCGACGAUCCAUAGCUGGUCUGAGAGGAUGAUCAGCCACACUGGGACUGAGACACGGCCCAGACUCCUACGGGAGGCAGCAGUGGGGAAUAUUGGACAAUGGGCGAAAGCCUGAUCCAGCAAUGCCGCGUGAGUGAAGAAGGGCCUUCGGGUUGUAAAGCUCUUUUACCCGGGAAGAUAAUGACUGUACCGGGAGAAUAAGCCCCGGCUAACUCCGUGCCAGCAGCCGC